rnacentral:lncRNA from 1 species
ACCCAAUUACUGAAUAGAAUCCACUAUUAAUAUUCAAAUCCGCAUAACAAUCCAGCAAAUACUAAUAAUAAUAUACUCUAGUAGAAAAUCCUAAGAAGAAGUAGAAAAAUAGAGUUUUGGCCUCCUUCCACGUUGGAAUCUCUCCCAGAGAGUAAACCCUAGUUACGCUGAUGAAAAAUACGACAAAAGAUAUACUAGAUACGUCUGACACCAGUCAGAUAUUGUUUUUAAUCACUUACAACCAUUUUAAUUAAAAAAUAAAAUAAAACAAAUCAGCAGCUUCAGACCUCACGCCCGGCUGCGCGCUCCUCCAGCACAUUCCUCUCGAGACCGCGAGACUUGCAGUAAGUUAUGAUGUCCAGCCGGGCUCUCGCGUGGGUGCGCGUCCCCUAGGCUUGUCAUGCUCGCGGUCGCGCAACUUGCAGUAGGUACCAUUGUCUGGCUGGGUACUUGCGCGGGCACACGUCUCCAAGUUCAUCCUGCCGCGCGGCCGCGCGGCUUGCGGUUGAUUAACUCUGAUUCUGCUUCUGAGUUUGGUUCUACAUUGUUGCUGCUGCUACUGAAGUGUCCUAUGUCCAUCCAUGCUCCACUCAAUCCUCAGCCAUGCACAUUCCAGCUUUUGCCUCGCCUCAUGCGUCCAUUAGCCUCGUGCCUUAUAAUACCACCAAAUUCGGCCGAUUCCUGCACUUAUUCAGCAAAAGGAGUUUUAAGUAUAUGCAAUGCAAACUAACAUGAAAUGCAGCUAAAACAUACUAAAAUGUACUUGAGAUGAGCAUAGUUCGCAUGAAUUGGUACUCCAUAAGUAGGUAUAAAACCCACUUAUCACCCAUAAAUUUUUUUUAUCAAUUUGGUUCAUUAAAUGCAUAGGUAAUCAAUUCGGUCAAAAGAGGUUUUGUUCUCACUAAAUGUUUAAGCACAUGCCCUUUUUCAUUUUCAAACCAGCAAAUAAACCGUGUCCCAAAAUUCUUGUCACAUUUUCAUUAGAAUAAAAGCUUUUUUUGUCACUGUAGUUUAGGAUAACAUACAAAUGAGUCAGUAAUUUUUUUUACAGUCAACUAAUUGAACUUUUAUUUACUUAAAAAUUUUUGAAUGUCGAUCAUUGGCGUUAAAUUUUUUAACGGAAGUGUGACAUGGCAAUCCCACAUGUGAACCAAAUCCUAGUUGGAAUGUUCUUUUAAUUAUUUUUUACAUAUCAUCUGAAAUCCACCCAUAAAAAUAAAGUACUCAUCCAAACCCAAAAAUACCCGCUACUUAUUAUAUAAUAAUAAUAAUAAUAAUAAUAAUAAUAAUAUAUCUGAAAUAAAAAAACAUAUUUUUGAAUUUUUUUCUUUGUCUUCUUUCUCAAAAUUUAUUCAUCCAAAGACCGAGAAGAUAAUGGGUUCUAAUAAGACUCUUUAUAUUUUGAAGAAAUCAACUAAAAAACUUAAAAGUUGAAUCAAUUAAAACCUCUUCUAGAUUUUUUCCUCAGAUUCUAACAAAAUCUAGUUCAGAUCUAAAUUUUAAAAUCAAAUUUGCGUUUAAUUAUUUGAUUGAUUUUGGGUAUUCAAACCCAAAUCGUUAAUUUUUUGGUUUGUGAUAACAGAUUGUCACCCCUAACCUCAUCAAUCAUCAUAUAUCCCAAAAGAAACCCUAAUUAAAGGCGUUCCUAAUUUUUCAAGAUGGCAACAUAUGAUGAUGGCUGAAGCAGAGCACGAGAUACAUCCUCUCAAAGAGUAUGAAGAUGAGGAGAGAGAAUGGAAAUUGAAGAAGGAACUACAACUAAUAGAUUUAGUUGAAACUGCAAAGGGAAGAGACAACAUAAUUAAUAACUUCGUCUCUUCUUCCUAACCUUCUCCUUCUUGAUUUUUGCUGGUUUUCUCUCUCCUCUUGGUCUUGUGAUGGCAUGCUUGGUUCCUCUCGCGGAAGUCAUCUAUGCUAUUAGCACCGCACCUGCAAGGAUUGUUGCCGAUGGAUCUCUAAAUCCUUCUGGUCUUGUUGUUCCCUCUGUUGGCAUGGUUGAAUCUGUGUAUCGGAUUAUUCUGACGAAUCUAAAAUGGAAUAUGAUUCUACUCAAAGCCCUCUAGUUGACUCCCAAGUCCAGACCAUUUUCAAAGUUGUUGCAGCU